rnacentral:siRNA from 1 species
CGAGUGCCUGGUGCGAUGACUAU